rnacentral:lncRNA from 1 species
CUCUGCAGCUCAUUCUAGAGAUCCGUCUCCCCUCCAUUUAGUGACGCCUCAGCUAGGAGAUCUGGCUCGGUUGGAAAGUGAGAAAGGUAAGUGAAAAGGCCACGCGGAUAGGCUAGAAGUUGCAAACAGUGUCCUGCCUGGCUGGCCGUUAGCCACGAGGUUGACACACAGGGAGAGAUUGGUGGGUAGGUAGUGAAAGGUCAGAGUCCCAGUCCUUUAGGUACCUCUGUUCCCAGUCAGCCCAUUUUAGAGAAUGGAAAGUGAGUGCCCAAAAUGGGCUGUUCUUGGGCCUGACUCUCAUUCGGACAAUUCCUGCCAGUAAACCCGGUCCUUGAACUUCACUGGCACCCACCUCUUCUCUCUUGCUUGCCUCUCUCUCCCUCUUCCUCUCCCUCUCUCUCCCUCUCCCCUCUCCCUCUCUCUCCAUUCCUUUGCUCUGUAUGUCUGUCUUUGUGUGCGUGCAUGUGCCAUAGCAUAUGUGUAAGAGUGAGAGAGCAGCUUGGGGAUGUGAGUUCUUUCAUUCUACUUUGUACCUGGGGGAUGGUGGUCAGGUUGUCAGGCGUGGUGCCCAGAGUCCGUAUCUGCUGUGUCAUCCCACAAGCCCUUGAUUGCUAUUACCAAGCCAUUCUCCACAUUGAAAGUUUUCACUGGUGUGACUAGCCCUCUUAGUUCUAUACUAUUUAUUUCUCCUUCAGUAUCGAGUUAUGCAAAUCCAUGAACAAACAUGUUUCCCCUUAAAGAAGAAACCAGCCGGGCGGUAGGGGCACACACCUUUAAUCCCAGCACUUGGGAGGCAGAGACAGGAGGAUUUCUGAGUUUAAGGCCAGCCUGGUCUACAAAGUGAGUUCCAGGACAGCCAGGGCUACACAGAGAAGCACUGUCUCAAAAAAACAAAAGCAAAAACAAAAACAAAACAAGAAGAAGAAGAAACCAACAGGACUCCCUUAAGCCCAUUGGCACUGCAUCUCAGCCCAUUUCUUUUCACUCUUUCUAAGCAGAUUUUCAUUCGUAUUCUGUACUGCCCUGUUUUCCUAGGCUCUCUUCUGCUUACUGAGUGCUUUUGUUCCCACCAGGCCUUUUGAAAUAACUCCUAACAAAGUCACCAAACCUCGGUUUCAAUGGAUUUAGAAGCGAUCUACUCUCUGUCCAUGUUGGACCUGAUAUAUAUGUGUAUAUGUAUAUGUAUGCAUAGAUUGUCUUUUUUUCUUUAGGAGGUAGGAGGAUUGCCACAAGUUCAAGGCCCAUGCAGGCUACACAAGCUCCAAGCCACUGGGGCUACAUAGAAAACCUGAGGGACAAUAGCAACAAACAGCAAAAGUUCCCAGAGCCUCCACUCAAGUGGAAACUUCUGGUUUCCUUAACAACUUAGUCACAUCAUGUGAUGUUUUUCUGGAAGCUGUCUUGUGAGAGGACAUGUAAUAUUUUGCCGAAAACAGAUACCUGAGAGAGUGUGUGAUGUUUAGAAAGAAUAUAACUGGAACCCCACGAACAAUGAGAGGGAGUUCUUGCAUGGCUAUACCAUCAAUGCUUCGCUGGUCUUCACUUCAUAGGGAGAAACUCACUCGCCAAACAACGUCUCGUGGUAUCCUGGCUGACUCUGGCCGCUUCAGCAGAGCCUGGCUGUUCCUGCUGGAUUGUGCUACUGCUACAGAUUCAUGUUUGGUGUUUGCUAUUGAACUGGGCUGCUUAUAUCCUGACACGGAAGAGUGGAAUCGCCCAAAGCAAGUACUUCUAAUCAGGUCCACAACUCCCUUUGCCUUUAACCUUGCUUUUUCCCUACCUCUGGUUGGUGGGCUAAAAGGGAGGGUUAAGAACCCCAAAUAAAGUCAGUUUUGAAAAACCU